GAUGAACGCUAGCGGCAGGCCUAACACAUGCAAGUCGAGGGGGAGGUUACUUUCGGGUAACUGAGACCGGCGUACGGGUGCGUAACGCGUAUACAAUCUGCCUUUCACUGGGGGAUAGCCCGAAGAAAUUUGGAUUAAUACCCCAUAGUAUAGUAAUACGGCAUCGUGAUGCUAUUAAAGCUUAGGUGGUGAAAGAUGAGUAUGCGUUCUAUUAGCUAGUUGGAGAGGUAACGGCUCCCCAAGGCGAUGAUAGAUAGGGGUUCUGAGAGGGAUGUCCCCCACACUGGUACUGAGAUACGGACCAGACUCCUACGGGAGGCAGCAGUGAGGAAUAUUGGACAAUGGUCGGAAGACUGAUCCAGCCAUGCCGCGUGCAGGAUGAAGGUCUUAUGGACUGUAAACUGCUUUUGUAAGGGAAGAAUAAGGGCUACGCGUAGUUUGAUGACGGUACCUUACGAAUAAGCAUCGGCUAACUCCGUG
rnacentral:rRNA from 1 species